AUGCUGGAAUUCCCACUUGAGCUGUUUCAAAUCCUGAAAGAUGAUGCUGUGAAAGUGCCGCACUCAAUAUGCCAGCAAAUUUGGAAGACUCAGCAGUGGGCACAGGACUGGAAAAGGUCAGUUUUCAUUCCAAUUCCAAAGAAAGGCAAUGCCAAAGAAUGCUCAAACUACCGCACAAUUGUACUCAUCCCACAUGCUAGUAAAGUAAUGCUCAAAAUUCUCCAAGCCAGGCUUCAGCAAUACAUAAACCGUGAACUCCCUGACGUUCAAGCUGGUUUUAGAAAAGGCAGAGGAACCAGAGAUCAAAUUGCCAACAUCUGCUGGAUCAUGGAAAAAGCAAGAGAGUUCCAGAAAAACAUCUAUUUCUGCUUUAUUGACUAUGCCAAAGCCUUUGACUGUGUGGAUCACAAUAAACUGUGGAAGAUUCUAAAAGAGAUGGGAAUACCAGACCACCUGACCUGCCUCUUGAGAAAUCUGUAUGCAGGUCAGGAAGCAACAGUUAGAACUGGACAUGGAACAACUGACUGGUUCCAAAUAGGAAAGGGAGUACGUCAAGGCUGUAUAUUGUCACCGUGCUUAUUUAACUUCUAUGCAGAGUACAUCAUGAGAAACGCUGGACUGGAAGAUACACAAGCUGGAAUCAAGAUUGGUGGGAGAAAUAUCAAUAACUUCAGAUAUGCAGAUGACACCACCCUUAUGGCAGAAAGUGAAGAGGAGCUAAAAAGCCUCUUGAUGAAAGUGAAAGAGGAGAGUGAAAAAGUUGGCUUAAAGCUCAACAUUCAGAAAACGAAGAUCAUGGCAUCCGGUCCCAUCACUUCGUGGGAAAUCGAUGGGGAAACAGUAGAAACAGUGUCAGACUUUAUUUUUUUGGUCUCCAAAAUCACUGCAGAUGGUGAUUGCUGCCAUGAAAUUAAAAGACAUUUACUCCUUGGAAGAAAAGUUAUGACCAACCUAGAUGGUAUAUUCAAAAGCAGAGACAUUACUUUGCCGACUAAGGUCUGCCUAGUCAAGGCUAUGGUUUUUCCUGUGGUCAUGUAUGGAUGUGAGAGUUGA
rnacentral:lncRNA from 1 species